AGAGGCAGAGAAAAGGAAAAAGAAGAAGCAGAUCGCAUAGAGCGGGAAAAGGUUAGAGAGGCAGAAAAGUUGGAGAGGGAAAAGGUUAGAGAGGCGGAACGUGUAGAGAGGGAGAAGAAAGAAGAGGCGGACAGAAAAGUGAGAAUUCAAGUAGAACAGAUGAGGAUAGAGGCUGGUGUAAGUGUGCCCACCGAAG
rnacentral:sRNA from 1 species